AAAGUACUCCCUCCGUCCCAAAAUUCUUGUCUUAGAUUUGUCUAGAUACGGAUGUAUCAAGUCACAUUUUAGUAUUAGAUACAUCCGACAAAUCUAAGACAAGAAAUUUGGGACAGAGGGAGUAGUUG
rnacentral:pre_miRNA from 1 species